UACGGAGGGAGCUAGCGUUGUUCGGAAUUACUGGGCGUAAAGCGCGCGUAGGCGGCUUUGUAAGUUAGAGGUGAAAGCCCGGAGCUCAACUCCGGAACUGCCUUUAAAACUGCAUCGCUUGAAUCCAGGAGAGGUGAGUGGAAUUCCGAGUGUAGAGGUGAAAUUCGUAGAUAUUCGGAAGAACACCAGUGGCGAAGGCGGCUCACUGGACCGGUACUGACGCUGAGACGCGAAAGCCAGGGGAGCAAACGGG
rnacentral:rRNA from 1 species